GACGGGCCCCCUCGCAUCGUGGCCCGGUGAACCUGGUCAGGUCCGGAAGGAAGCAGCCACAGCCGUUCGUCGCGAGUGCCGAGGUCCCGGCUCGUCCAG
rnacentral:SRP_RNA from 1 species